rnacentral:rRNA from 1 species
GCCCAGUGAACUAUAUUUUUCAACGGCCGCGGUAUCUUAACCGUGCAAAGGUAGCAUAAUCACUUGCCCAUUAAUUGUGGGCUGGAAUGAAUGGAUCAACGAAAUAAAAACUGUCUCUAUAAGUAAACUAAAAAUUAAUCUCUAACUGAAGAUUGUUAGAUCACAUUGAAGGACAAGAAGACCCUAUAGAGCUUUAUUUUUAUAUAUGAUUAAAAUAUACAUAAAAUUCGGUUGGGGCGACCAGGGAAGCUAUCUAUCAUCCCCUAAAGAAAGAUAAAUGAAUCACAUAAAUGACCCUCAAUAAAGAUCACCAAACCAAGCUACCUUAGGGAUAACAGGCUAAUCACACUAAAGAGUUCUUAUCAAUAGUGUGGUUUGGCACCUCGAUGUUGGCUUAGGGAAUCCAUAUGGCGCAAAAGUCAUAUAAAGAUGGUUUGUUCAACCAAUAAUACCCUACAUGAGCUGAGUUCAGACCGGCGUAAGCCAGGUUAGUUUCUAUCCUCAAUAAAUAAAUCUAUUUAUAGUACGAAAGGACCUAAAUAAGAAUAAUAAUUAUAUACUAAGAAUACUUACAACACCCGUUAAACCCUAACAUACAUAAACUACGUGAUAAGUUGGCAGAAUAGUGCCACCGACUUAGGAUCGGUUCAUGGAUAUAACCCACUUAUCAGUGUGCAACUUAGUUCAACUAGAACAAUCAACUUGCACUUGAUAGGAGAGACUCACUCAGUAGCGACUUGAAGUUUCGGAAACACUGGACCUUGAAAGUCCACUUAAGAUGUUCGACUCAUCUUUAAGUCUAUCAAGAUGGCAGAAUA